rnacentral:rRNA from 1 species
GUAAGGAAUAUUGGUCAAUGGACGCAAGUCUGAACCAGCCAUGCCGCGUGAAGGAUGAAGGUCCUCUGGAUUGUAAACUCCUGUUAGAGGGGAAGAAUAGUACCGGUUGGACCGGUAUAUGACUGUACCCUCAGAGAAAGCCCCGGCUAACUACGUGCCAGCAGCCGCGGUAAUACGUAGGGGGCAAGCGUUGUCCGGAUUUACUGGGUGUAAAGGGCGCGCAGGCGGGAUAAAAAGUCAGUGGUGAAAUCCUACAGCUUAACUGUAGAACUGCCUUUGAUACUUUUAUUCUUGAGUUCGGGAGAGAGAGACGGAAUUCCAGGUGUAGUGGUGAAAUACGUAGAUAUCUGGAAGAACACCAGUUGCGAAGGCGGUCUCUUGGUCCGACACUGACGCUGAGGCGCGAAAGCGUGGGGAGCAAACA